AGGGUUAUGAAAAGCGACCGCUUCAUCGCAUAAAGCGAGAAGCGACGCGACGCGAUACCCCAUCGCCUUUUUCUCCUUCAGGCGACGCGAACAAAAGAAGCGCUCGCUUAACUGGGAAAAGCGACGCGAGUCAAAGCGAGCAAAGCGAUUGAAGCGAUCGAUUUCUUGAAAAAUCGAUCGACCAGUAUUAAAAAAAAGUUGGACAGCCUCGACCAGUUGCGGAAAUUAAAAAAAGAGCUCGACCAACUACCCCUCUUCUUCUCCAGUGACGGAAAUUAGGGUUUCCAUCGGUGAAGACGACCGGCGACCGACGACGACGACAAAACCCAGGUAUGUUUUCUUCUCCUUUGUUCUUGUUUUUUCUUUCUCCUUCAUCUUCUUCUUCCAUCUUCUUCUUCUUUCUCUCUGUCGACGUCGGCGACGAAGAUUCCCGUCGUUUUUUCAUUUUUUUUUCAUCUACGAUCAGCAUCAACGUCGGCGACUCUGUCUCUGUUUCACUGUUUUCUUUUUCAUUUGUUUUUGGCCCAGUUCUUUUCAAUUUUUUAUAAAGUUACUGUAGCACAUAUAUAUAUAUAUAUAUUUAAUUAUUGUAUUAUUAUUUUUAAUUUCAGUUUAAUAUCAGUUUAAUUGUAUUAUUCUGUUUAUAAAUUGAUAUUUAAUUGUAUUA
rnacentral:lncRNA from 1 species